UGGACAACUUACUUUGACAUCUGAC
rnacentral:rRNA from 1 species